UACGGAGGGGACUAGCGUUGUUCGGAAUUACUGGGCGUAAAGCGCACGUAGGCGGAUUUGUAAGUUAGGGGUGAAAUCCCGGGGCUCAACCUCGGAACUGCCUUUGAUACUGAGAAGCUUGAGUCCGGGAGAGGUGAGUGGAACUGCGAGUGUAGAGGUGAAAUUCGUAGAUAUUCGCAAGAACACCAGUGGCGAAGGCGGCUCACUGGCCCGAUACUGACGCUGAGGCACGAAAGCGUGGGGAGCAAACAGG
rnacentral:rRNA from 1 species